UACGUAGGGGGCAAGCGUUGUCCGGAAUUACUGGGCGUAAAGCGCGUGUAGGCGGGACGGCAAGUCUGGCGUGAAAGGCUCGGGCUCAACCCGAGAUGGCCGCUGGAAACUGCCGUUCUUGAGGGUCGAAGAGGAGAGUGGAAUUCAUGGUGUAGCAGUGAAAUGCGUAGAGAUCAUGAGGAAGACCAGUGGCGAAGGCGGGUCUCUGGACAGUUCCUGACACUGAGACACGAAGGCCAGGGGAGCAAACGGG
rnacentral:rRNA from 1 species